rnacentral:rRNA from 1 species
UACGGAGGGGGCUAGCGUUGUUCGGAAUUACUGGGCGUAAAGCGCGCGUAGGCGGCUUUGUAAGUUAGAGGUGAAAGCCCGGAGCUUAACUCCGGAACUGCCUUUAAGACUGCAUCGCUAGAAUCGUGGGAGAGGUGAGUGGAAUUCCGAGUGUAGAGGUAGAAAUUCGUAGAUAUUCGGAAGGAAACACCAGUGGCGAA